CUGACAAGAAGAGCACAUCACUCUCCUCAAGGCCAUCUUUGCACUUUAACAAUCUACAGCUCUAAAAAUCACUGUACCAGGUUAACUUAGUACCUUUGGUUUGUAUUUUAAAAUUUUAAUCGAGAGACAGAUCUUAAUAAAACAUAUAACCAAAAAGAACCCACACACUAUUGAUAAAAGACAGGGUUACACUUAACGAUCAUGCACUUAACCGAUCCUGUGCUGUGAGCUUUCUCACAGAGGUUCCUCCAAGGUCAGCUGUGAAUUUCAUGGUUUGUUAAAUUUUCUUAGAUGCACUCCGAUGUCCAGAAAUACCUGAAAUCAAACAGCUAAGGCAGUAGCUGUGCAGAUUCACUGAUGUGUCGGACAGCAAUAUCGUAGUACGCUUAUGUACCAGUGAAGCAUCAAAAUUGAUGGGCAGGAAAUUCUGAAGCUUAGCAAGAAGAAAUUCCAGUAAUAGUUACAGAUCAGGAGGUGGAAGAGACUGAGAAAUUUAGUGAAAUUACAAAUACUCAGGAAGUGGAACUGAACAAGUUACUGGAGCUGCAGACUGACAAGGCCCUGGGUAUUGAUGCAUUACAUCCUGGGGUCCUAAAAAGUCCAUAGUCAACACUGGAAAGUUACAAAUAUCACUCCACUAUUGAAGAAGGAAUAAAGGCAGGAAAAAAGCAACCAAAGGUAAGUUAGCUUGAUAUCUGUCAUGGCGGUAGAAUUGAUUACUAAGGAGGAUACAGUUAGAUGCCUUGAAAAAGUCAGGAAUGGUCAGCAUAGUUUUGUGAAAGGGAAAUCAAGUUUAACAAGCCUGAAAGUGGAUAAAAAGGAACCAGAAUAUCUACUGUAUUUUAAUUUGCAGAAGGCAUUUGACAGAUUCCACAGAAAGGGUUAUUGCACACACUAGGAGUGUAUAAUAGCAGGCAUUGAUGAUAACCUAGCUGGCAGUAUGUGGAGUAUGCAAAAGUCAAUCUUGCUCUGAUUGACACAAUGCAAGCAGUGGGAUCUGUGCUGGAGCCUUAGUGUCUUUGCAAUUUAUAUCAAUGACUAAGAUGAUGGAAGUAAAGCUAAAUUUGCAGAUGACACAAAGAUAUAUAGGAAAAUGUUUUGUGCAGAGGACUUAAGGAGGGUGCACCAAUGGAUUUAGGUGACAGGAUAAGUGGGCAGAUGGAAUAUAAUGUAGGUGUAUAUGAAAUUGUUCACUUUGAUAUCAAGACUAAAAAAGUUGUUUCAAUUUAAACUGAGAACAACUACAAAAUUCUGAGGUGCAGAGGGAUCUAAAUCAUGAUCUUUGGUGAGUCACAAAAAUGUUAGUUUGCAGGUCCAGCAAGUAAUUAAGGAGUCUAAUGGAAUGCUAAUCUUUAUUAUGAAAGGAAUUUAAAAGAUGGUAAGGAUGUUAUGCUUCAAUUAUGUGGCUUUGAUGGGGCCACAUUUCAAAUACUAUCUGUGUAUUUCUCUCAUUAUUUAAGGAAGGAUAGACAUGCAUUGGAAGUGAUUCAGAGAAGGUUUACCAGAUUGAUACCUCGAAUAAGCAAAUUGAUUUCUGAAGGUAGGUUGGGCAGACUGGGUUUGUAUUCACUGGAGUUGAGAAGAGUGAGGAUUGACCUGAUUAAACUGCAUAAGAUUCUGGAUGGUCUUGCCAAGGUGGACAUGGGAAGGAUGUUUUCUCUUGUGGAUUACUGAGAAAUAAGGAGCACUGUUUAAAAAUUAUGGGUUACCCAUUUCAGACAAUAUUGUGUGACUUUGGAAAUCUGUCUCAGACAUCAGUGGAUGCAGGGUCAUUGAAUACUUUUAAGGUGGAAAUAAAUAUUAGUCAAAGGACUCAAGUAUUGCCAGGCUAUUUGGGAAUGUGGAAUUCAAAACACAAACAGAUCUGUCAGGAACUUUUUGAAUGGCACAGCAGGCUCGAGUGGCCUACAUCUGCUUCUAAUCUAGAUAUUUUUAUGCAACUUUCAAUGCCUUUUUGUAAUUGCCAACUUCUAAAAAUUUGAACUCAUUGAUUAUAUGGUAUGUCUAUUUCCUUAUAAUGUGAGAAAGAUUUGUGUUUGCCCUCAUCUCUUAUCUUGAGAACAAUGCUAAUUUCCGCCCAGGCGAAUAGAACAAGUAUAACAAUUCCACACCUUCUAAACUCUGGUUUCUUGUCAUUGCUUUUCAUUACUUCUGUAGCAUAUCACAAUAUUAAUGAUGCCACCAGGAAUACCCCUACAAUUCUAUUUUCCUAAGAAACUAUUGUACCAUAAUAUAUAUUAGCUGCAUCUGCUGAGAUAUAGUUUAGAGUUUGGCAAAAGAAGACCAGGAAGCUGAUAAAGAAACAGAAAAUGAAGUAUGAAAUUAAAUUAGUAAAAAUAUAAAAGUGGGCUGUAAAAGCAUGCCUACUUAUGUAAAUUGAAAAAGAUUAACAAUGACAAACAGAUGAGA